UGGGCUUCAUGGCAUUCCCCUCCGCUUGAGACUCUUGGCCGUAUUGUACCUUGGUUGCUAGAGGGAAUUUGAUUAUCCUUAACAAUAGAUGCUGGAAUAAUUGCUCUUCCAUUUGCUCGCUUUCCCAUUUGAACUGAGAUGCUGGCCUGUGACAAAUCUACUCCAGAACUCUGCAGUGCGUGUGUCAGAGUAUUUAGCAAUCCUUGAGAGUACAAACUUGAGAUGUUAAUGGCACCACCUUCAAUGCUGAGCUCCUGUUCUUUCAGCUUAUCAAUGGCAACAGCUCCGUCAUUGGCACAUGAUCUGAUCUGAUGUGAUUGGGAUUGAGGUUGACUUGUCAUAUUCUCGGCAUCUGAAACCAUCCUAGGUGGAACUUGAGCCACUGC
rnacentral:misc_RNA from 1 species